AACGAACGCUGGCGGCAGGCUUAACACAUGCAAGUCGAGCGCCCCGCAAGGGGAGCGGCAGACGGGUGAGUAACGCGUGGGAAUCUACCCAUCUCUACGGAAUAACGCAUGGAAACGUGUGCUAAUACCGUAUACGUCCUUCGGGAGAAAGAUUUAUCGGAGAUGGAUGAGCCCGCGUUGGAUUAGCUAGUUGGUGGGGUAAAGGCCUACCAAGGCGACGAUCCAUAGCUGGUCUGAGAGGAUGAUCAGCCACACUGGGACUGAUACACGGCCCAGACUCCUACGGGAGGCAGCAGUGUGGAAUAUUGGACAAUGGGCGCAAGCCUGAUCCAGCCAUGCCGCGUGAGUGAUGAAGGCCCUAGGGUUGUAAAGCUCUUUCACCGGUGAAGAUAAUGACGGUAACCGGAGAAGAAGCCCCGGCUAACUUCGUGCCAGCAGCCGCAGUAAUAC
rnacentral:rRNA from 1 species